rnacentral:rRNA from 1 species
UACGAAGGGGGCUAGCGUUGCUCGGAAUCACUGGGCGUAAAGCGCACGUAGGCGGCUUUUUAAGUCAGGGGUGAAAUCCUGGAGCUCAACUCCAGAACUGCCUCCGAAACUGCCGGCCUUGAGUUCGGGAGAGGUGAGUGGAACUGCGAGUGUAGAGGUGAAAUUCGUAGAUAUUCGCAAGAACACCAGUGGCGAAGGCGGCUCACUGGCCCGAUACUGACGCUGAGGUGCGAAAGCGUGGGGAGCAAACAGG